CAUAGAGCUCACUACACAGCAAUCUCUGCUGAUGUUUUGUGUGAGAAAUCUAAUUGGUUUUGCUUAUUUUAUGCUGUGAGAAUUACAGAAAAAGAACAACAGCCCACUGCUUAGUGUUUGCUGCCUCUUCCCAAGAGGCACCUAGAUUAAAUUCUUUUAGAAGCUCAAAGUAUAGUUUUAAUAACGACUUGCAGCUAAAGAAACUCCUCAGUUAGCUGCAGAGCAGUGGCUCUUUAUCAGUCCCACUCCCUCUUGCUGCUCUAGCUUUUGGCAAGAUCACUAUCUUCCUGAAGUGAUCAAAGACAAUAUUAAGUACAUACAUCAAAAUGAAAGACAUGGUGUUCAGCUGGGACUUGAAACAAAUGAAAGAUGAGGAAAUUUACAGCAAAUCCCAAAAUUGUGUUUUGGCCAGGUCUCAGUGCUACAGCUUUCUAGUUAGCAGAAUUCCUCUCCUAACAGCAAAUUUUAACAGAACUCAAGCUCCU